rnacentral:lncRNA from 1 species
GGCAAACUUUUAAUUUAUGUUGCUGUCACUUAAGUUACAAAAUGUAUUGUUUAUAGAAGGAUUUCCUACAACCUGUUUCAUAAUCACAGUAUAUGAAAAACAUCCUAAUAACCGAUACAGAUAAAACUGCUUCUGAUAAGAUAAAUGGCAUAUGCAGAAUACUUAACAACAACCAUAACAUAAUCUAAACAGACUACUGAAGAAAUAAAAACCUAUCACAGAUAACUACACUGACUAUUACUGACCUUAAAUUUCAAUUUACUUUUCAGUUUUCUGCUGUAAAGAAGGUGCUGUCGGGAAAACAACACGUUCCCCUUAAAAACCUCCAGCUGAAGGAGGAUGGGUUUACCAUGGCAGUCUGCCUCUGGAGGGAGGCAGCUGUUAACAGCGUGAACGUGGGAGACCACAUCAGUCUCUCUCACGUUAAGCAGAAACAGUCCUCAUAUGGAAUACAGCUUCACAGUACAGCAUUUACACAGAUUGAGGUAUGAAGAAGCUAAACCUUUGUUUGUCUUAUCAUCAAAUGUUUAAAAC